AUUUUAUUUACUUUUCUCUAUAUUUUUAUUUUGAUGAAAAAGCUUUUGAAUUCAAAGUAAAUUUUUAGUUUAACCUUUAGAAAAAAUAAAUCUUUAGAAAGUGUUUAGUAUUAUACAGUUUCAUAUUAAAUUAAACGUUGUUAAUAGUAAACAUAAUUUUAGAUUUUGAGUUGAAAGUUUUUUAUAUUGCUAAAUAUGUAUUUUAAAUCUAAUAGAACGGCAAUUUCAAUUUUUAAAAUUGAAAUUGCAUUGUAAAUAUACCCUAACAUCGAAAUUGACAAAUGUUUUAUUUUU
rnacentral:misc_RNA from 1 species